GGGCCCUUAGCUCAGUUGGCUAGAGCGCUACAUUUGCAAUGCGAAGGUCACCGGUUCGAGCCCGGUCAGGUCCA
rnacentral:tRNA from 1 species